UAGAUACCCUAUUAUUUUGGAUUUAAAGGUUUAAGCUUGAGUAGUAUUAGAUAUGAUCUUGAAACUUAAAGAAUUUGGCGGUAUUUUAGUCUAGUUAGAGGAAUCUGUCCCGUUAUCGAUAAUCCGCGUUGAACCUUACUUAAUAUAAUUUAAUAUGUAUACCGCCGUUUAUUUGAAGAUCUUUUUAGGGUUAAUUUUCUUUAAAUUUUAAUUAAUUUUAUUUCAGGUCAAGGUGCAGUUGAUAAUUAAGUGGUGAUGGAUUACAUUAUUAAUAAAAUAAACGAAUUGAAGAUUGAAAGUAUUUUAUGAAGGAGGAUUUAAUAGUAAUUAAUAAUAAGAAUUAUUUUUAUGAUUUUAGCUCUAAAAUGUGUACACAUCGUCCCGUCACUCUCGUUAUUAAGGUGAGAUAAGUC
rnacentral:rRNA from 1 species